UUGUGUAGAAAAUUAUUGCUACUAAAAGAAAUGAAAUUGUUUUCUUCAUCCUUGUUUCAAACCAACUAAUAAACUAGAUGCUUGGAAGACUCUUUUCACUAUAUAGUUCAUGUAUGCACCUCUACUUGAUAAUCAUAAAUAGUUUGAUCACACCAUUCUUUCAAAAAAAAAGCAAUCUACUAAAAACAACCAGCAGAUGAUGUAUCUGAAGGCAUUUCGUUUCAGGUGAUAUGUUCGUGACUUAAUUUUGUGGCCUACACAACUAAUGUAGAGGUUAUAUAAGUGUAGAACAGUGAUUUAGGAUAUGAUGUUUUUUAAAUACCUUUCGCGAAUGUUUGUUUGAACUCCGUUCCGAGACCACAUACUUUAGGAAAUUUUCUUAUGUUUCAACCAAAUAAGCUCUCAAAGGAUUAGCAAGCACAUGGACCAUUCCGAUUAAACUAUUUGUUCUAGGUCACAAUUGAAGUAUUGAUAUGUUCUGCCCAACGUUCAUUACACCGAGUCAUGUAUUUUUUUUUCUGAACAUACAUUAUAUUUUCUAGAAAUUUCUCCUCUGUUAGAGAAACAUAUAAAUUCUUCUGUCUUUUUAUUACAUGAUACAACCUAAGGAAAUUGGAACGACUGAUUUAUGUGGGAAACUGAUGGGCUAAAGCUCAAAAGCUCACACCUGGAUGUUUUUUGUCACACCUUCAAAAUCGUGUAGAAGAAACGCUUACAAAAAGAAGAAAGAGACCUGGUUUGCCUUCCUUGCUGGCGUCCUUGUCAUCUCCAACCCGCCCACGGGGUGCUCAAGGGGUUCGGCCAAGUCGGAUGCCAGGCGGUGCGCGCAGCUGAGGAGCACUGGCAGCAGGCGCUUGAUGCGGCGCUCCCCGCGUCGCCGCUGCUCAUUCGCGGCUCCUCCUCCUCCCCAACGGAUCGCGACUGAACCUUCCUUGUGCCAGCACCUCGUGGCCAUGAAGGGUGGCUGAGCCAUCAGGAGCGGCGGCGGCGGCCUGCUGCGGAUGCUGCUGCGGCUCCCUCCUCUUCCUCGUCGGCUUCUACCUGCUUUGUGCCGACGCCAUGUACAUCGUGUCAUCCCGGUGCUUCUGCUUUCCCGGGUCGCAACUCUUUGGUGUGCUCGACAAGGCCAGGACACACAUUCUGGAGAGCUCCUUGGUCAGUCCAUCACGAGAACCGGCAGCUACCGGAUUCCUUUUGUGCUGCUGGAAAGGAGGCACAUUGUUCCCAUGCUCGUGCUCUAUGGGUAGAAGCUGCAAAUUCUGGAGGUAUCAGACGAGGGUAUUCGAAGAAGACACCAUGAAUGGCAGCAGACUCUACCGCUUCCAUUACAAUGGUAUUCGAAAAAGAUACCACCUUGUGGCCUUUCCUGUUUCCUGUGACUACGACUUCCAACUCUUUAACUGGGAUGGUGUCAAAAGAAAUUCUGUAACUGGGACACAAUAAAAUAAAUUGGUACAACUAUAUGGAUUCCUUGGUAAGCUCAUGAUUCAUCUGGCUAAGCAGUCUUAGUAGACCGCCAAUGUUGUGUUAUUAAGAUGCAGGUUUCAAUAACCUUCAUGUUUGCGGCUAAAAUAAUGUAGUUAUCUCGGUAGUCUAGGUAGAUUGAAAUAAUUGUUUAUCCUUGAAGCAAAUCAACUAAACAACUGCCAGUAGAUGAUGAGGUGCCUUCUGCAAACAAAAAAGCUAAGCUCUAAGCGAGUAUUUUUAGGCGACCUAUCUUUUUCGGUGAUUUGUUUAAUCCUUCCUCUGCUCAAUUGAUGUGAACCACAAACCUUGCUCUGCUAAAUUGAUGUGAACCACAAUCCUUGCUCUGCUCAAUUGAUCUUCCCAGCAAAUCAAUGAACAUGUGCCCACAGGGACACAGUCAAAGCAAGGUAUCUGAAGACCUGAUGGGAAAUGAGGAGGUGCCCUUUGCAACUAAAAAGACUAAGUUGGAGACCAAGUGCCUUUAGGCAACGCGCCCUUUUGGAUCGUAGCGUAUUAGUUGCGGAUGUGCAGAAAAUGCUGAUUUAGCGGAUGGAUUGCCUUUUCCAUCUGGGAUCGCUUUUGUUGCGACCUGUCGCUUAUAAUAGAGUGAUCUGUUUUGCUGAUCCUGGCCAAGUGGAAUCUACUGUCUGUCAAUGUCCAAAUGCUGCAGUCAAUAGUUAGUGUGACAUGGAUCUUGACUAAUGUAUCCCAUCAGUUUAGCCGUGUGUUGCUAGCUGAUGUGAAAGUAUGUGUGAUUACCAUACUUAUUAUGAUUAUGGAUGUUGCUACAUGUUUCAUUAGCUAAAUUUUACCUAUGCAUUCUGCCUGUGGAUGCCAUUUCCUC